UUAAACAGCCCUCGGAGAUGAGGGGAACGUAUCGCUGCCGGCGCCUCACUUGCAGAUGCUCAGAAGACCUUUGGCCUCCCCCGCCCCUACCGGCUGCUCCCCGCUGCAGCUGAGCGGCUUUUGGGGAGCAGUGAAGAAGCCCUGAUGAGGAACCUCAGAUUCAGACAGGAAGCCACCUGCCUGGUUUUCAUAGGGAAAGGGAAGAAUUUCAACCCACUGAGACCUAUGACCAGAGAGUCUCCCUUUUCCAUUUGGUUGGAAGUAAAGGGAACUUGCCAAAAUUAAAGAAGUCGAGACAAAGCAACCCAAGUGUGUCCAUCAGCAAAUGAAUAAACAAAAUGUGAGCCAUGCAUACAAAGGAAUAUUACUCAACCUUGAAAGGGAAUGAAAUCCUGACACACGCUACAUACAGAAGAACCUUAAAGACAUGACGCCAAAUGAAAUAAACCAGACACCAAAGGACAAAUAUGGUGUGAUUUCACACACAGGAAGUGCCAAGGUUAUUCAAGUUCAUGGAGAAGUGAAGUAAAAUGGUGGUUGCCAGGGGCUGGGGCGGUGGGGGAAUGGAGAGUUGUUUAAAACUACAGAGACUCAGUUUGGGAAAAUGGAAACAUUUUGAACAUGGAUGGUGGUGAUGGUUCCAUUGACCAUGUGAAUGUACAUAAUGUCACUGAACUAUACACUUGAAAAUGGCUUAAGUGGUACAUUUUAUGUUAUGUAUGCUUUAUCACAA